rnacentral:lncRNA from 1 species
GAGUUCUAAUAACCUUGAAAAACCAGGAGGACCCCAUCACUGACAGGAAUAAUAGUUGCCUCUUUUCCAGACUGGUCUUUUUAGAUUAAUCUUUCACCCCUAGGAGCAGUGCCCCAUAUGCUAAUAAUUACUUGGGGGGGGGAGUAGAAGGAAGAGACAGAGAGACAGAGAUAGAGAGGGAGAGGGCAGGAGAGAGAGGAGAAAGAAGAGAGAUGGAGGGAGGGAGAGAAGGAGAGAGAGAAAUAGAGAGAGGAUGGAAGAGAGAAGGGGUAGGGGAGGAAGGGAGAGAGAGAGAGAGAGAGAGAGAGAGAGAGAGAGAGAGAGAGAGAGAGAGAGAGAGAGAGAGAGAGAGCUUAAGGUUUGCAAAGCACAAAGGAUCCUCUAUUGUUUCACUUUCCUUAUAGGUAAUGGCUGCUGGGACCAUACACAGGCUGUGUUUCUCUCUACCAUUUGUUUUCUUAACUGAAUGUGACUUCAUUGAUUUCCUUGACACUUAAUUUGUUUAUGUUUACAUUGAAGUAUCCUAGGAAACCAGCUAUCUGCAGCCUUUGGAUUGAUUUAACAGAAAUGAUCAGCUGUGAACCAGACUAUGUAACUAAGCUGGUCAGCAGCCUGAGAAAGAUGACUUCACCAGUAAGACACACAAAGCUCACUGCACGAACUUCCGAACGCUAUCCAGAUGUUACUUAUCUGCCCGGAGGGAAAAGGUUGGAGACGGGAACAAUUCUGUUUUACAACAAAUUAUAAAGCGCAAAUACAUUGUUAGUAAAUGCAUAGUGAGAGCUGGCAGUGGCAUGAUCACCAGGAGAGCACUGAGAAAGGAUGGAAGCUGCUCAAGUCGUUCAACCUGAAUAAAUGUAAUUGAAGGUGCGUUGAAGCUCA